GGAUUCUGACAGAGAGAGAGGAGGGGAUGAAAGAUGGAUCAGCAGGAGAGAAGAUGAAGGGAUCUGAGGGGAGGAGAGGGACGACAGGAGUGGAGACGGGGAUGAGGAGCGAUGGAGAAAUGGAGUACAGGAAUUCAAUGCAGAUGGGAGAGAGCUAUUGUAGUGGUUUGAGUGCUGGGAAGUGUACACAUCAUGAAAUGCAAGACAAAACAGUGAUGCCUAACAAGAAGAUACCCGAAAAGCCUGCGAGACCAGGAGAAUGGGGAAACCAAAAAAAGUCAACCCUGAGAAGACCAGUGAGGAGGAGGUGUGGUCCAUGCCUCAGGGUGUGGUCCACCUUUCUGGGUGUGGUUCAAGGCUCUGGGUGUGGUCCACCUUUCUGGGUGUGGUCCACCUUUCUGGGUGUGGUCCAAGGCUCUGGGUGUGGUCCACGGCUCUGGGUGUGGUCUUAGGCUCUGGGUGUGGUCCACGGCUCUGGGUGUGGUCCACAGCUCUGUUUCAAAGAGAUGGACAAGGAGAUAUCCACCCUCUGAAAUAAUCUGGACCACUAUAAGGCCUGCGAGGGGACGUGGACGAAAGAGAUGGAAGAGCUCAAGAGGAGGGGGGUCACCAUGUUCAAAACUAGAGACCUCUCCACUUUCAGGCAGGAGAAAAUAGAACUGGAGAGAGUCAGGCAGAAAAGAGAGAGAUGUCCAGUCAGAACCAGAUAAAUGCUCUCCAGGAAAGCCUCCAGGCCAAGGAAGAAAAGUGGCCAGUCAGAACGAGCUUCAGAAGACCCUCCAGGCCAGGGAAGACCAGUGGAUGGUCAUGCAGACAGAGCUCCAGGAGACCCUCCAGGCCAAGGAAGACCAGUGGAUGGUCAUGCAGACAGAGCCCCAGGAGACCCUCCAGGCUCCAGGCUUGCCUAGAUAAUAACAUUUAAAAACUUGUACAUCAAGCUGCCUAUUUUCCAUUAUAUUGAUCCUCAAAAAAUAUAUAUUUUCAUUUAUAUCAACAAUUAAAAAAUAAAGAUUGAAAAGAAUCAACAACAGUGGUGUAAUGUGUCUUGGUAUUUGGUGUUUUGUUCCGGUGUGAAGAACGAACAGAGGACCAAUAAUUCAUUGUCAUAGUUAGUUUGAGCCCUGUUGCUUAUAAUUAAAGUAGGGAUGGUAUUGGAGAUUUGACUUCCUCAAAAUGUGUCAAAUAUACGUUUGAAAUAAAACAAAAAACAACACCGCUGAUAUUAAACUGAAUAGAAUUGACUGCGAAGACAUUUGCUGAGAAAACAUUCCACAUUCUGAUGAAGGCUAAUGAUUAAAGCCAAGCUUUUAAUAGUU
rnacentral:lncRNA from 13 species